GAGGAAAAGAAACCAACAGGGAUUGCCUCAGUAACGGCGAGUGAAGCGGCAAAAGCUCAAAUUUGAAAUCUAGCACUUUCAGUGUUCGAGUUGUAAUUUGAAGAAGGUAACUUUGGUUUUGGCUCUUGUCUAUGUUCCUUGGAACAGGACGUCACAGAGGGUGAGAAUCCCGUGCGAUGAGAUGCCCAAUUCCAUGUAAAGUGCUUUCGAAGAGUCGAGUUGUUUGGGAAUGCAGCUCUAAGUGGGUGGUAAAUUCCAUCUAAAGCUAAAUAUUGGCGAGAGACCGAUAGCGAACAAGUACAGUGAUGGAAAGAUGAAAAGAACUUUGAAAAGAGAGUGAAAAAGUACGUGAAAUUGUUGAAAGGGAAGGGCUUGAGAUCAGACUUGGUAUUUUGCGUUCCCUUCCUUUUUGGUUGGGUUCCUCGCAGUUUACUGGGCCAGCAUCGGUUUGGAUGGUAGGAUAAUGACAUUGGAAUGUAGCUUUACUUCGGUGAAGUGUUAUAGACUUUGUUGAUACUGCCUAUCUAGACCGAGGACUGCGUCUUUGACUAGGAUGCUGGCGUAAUGAUCUUAAGCCGCCCGUCUUGAAACACGGACCUCCUGUGUGAA
rnacentral:rRNA from 1 species